rnacentral:rRNA from 1 species
ACAGGGAGGUAGUGACAAUUAAUAUCAAUACCGGGCGUACUACGUCUGGUAAUUGGAAUGAGUACAAUUUAAAUCCCUUAACGAGGACCAAUUGGAGGGCAAGUCUGGUGCCAGCAGCCGCGGUAAUUCCAGCUCCAAUAGGUAUAUUAAAGUUGUUGCAGUUAAAAAGCUCGUAGUUGGAUUUCUGGUGUGAUGCCCUGGCCCGUGCCUCAUUUGGUACGUGUGCCGGCUGUGCGUCCGCCAUCCUUCUAGAAAACGUGCCUACUCUUCACUGAGACGGGUUACGCGAUCUAGAUCUUUUACUUUGAAAAAAUUAGAGUGUUUAAGGCAGGCUUUUGCUAUGAAUACAUUAGCAUGGAAUAAUAAUCUAGGACUUCGGUUCUAUUUUGUUGGUUUCUAGUACUGAAGUAAUGAUUGAUAGGGAUAGUUGGGGGUGCUAGUAUUGAGCGGCCAGAGGUGAAAUUCUUGGAUUCGCUCAAGACUAACUUAUGCGAAAGCAUUCACCAAGGAUGUCUUCUUUAAUCAAGAACGAAAGUUGGGGGAUCGAAGACGAUCAGAUACCGUCGUAGUCUCAACCAUAAACUAUGCCAACUAGGGAUGGGUGACCGUUGCAUUAUCGACUUCAUCUGCACCUUAUGAGAAAUCAAAGUUUUUGGGUUCCGGGGGGAGUAUGGUCGCAA